ACCUGACUGGCUCAAUCAGUAGAGCAUGUGACUCUAGAUCUUGGGAUUGAGAGUUCAAGCCCCAUGUUUGGUA
rnacentral:tRNA from 1 species